AUGGUGUUUUGUUUUUUUUUUUCAGAGACAUUCAGGCACCUUUCCAACUUCGUGCAUACUCUCAGGAAUUUAAAAUUAAUUUCCAGAUACAUCUACAAUGCUGUGCCUUCAAGUGGUGCGUACUGGAAGAUCACUAUAUUAUCAACUUGGCUGGCUGCUUCUACUGUCUCUCUCUCACUUGGAGAGGUGUACUGCAAUGGAGCAUGUCAGCAUAGGAGAGCUGGAGUUUCCUUGGUCCAGUUCUCUGAUGCUACCUACUUUCUCCCAGAAGACCCAUAUUUUCCUCUGAAGCAGAAAGAUCUUGAUGUACAGAAAGGUCUCAAAAGCAAAAAUCACUGAGGAGCUCGAGUCAGGGCUGACAACCCGUGUGUUACAGUAACUAGAUGGAAUGCAACAGCUCCAGAAAACUGCCAAGAAGCAAGCAUAAAAUCUAGGCAUCCGGGAGGCAGCUGGGCUUCUUAAUUAUUGGCAAAUAUAUUUAUAUAUAAAUAUUUUGCCAAGCGUGAUUUGGCUUAAGAGUUCCUGUGAAGUGACCUUUUGCUUUCCUUUGUUUUGUGUCUGUACACAUGUCCUAGAUAGAUACAUGGAGAGAGAGGCAGAGACGCACAGACAGAGAUAAAUAAACGGAUUUCACACAGCCCUCCA
rnacentral:lncRNA from 1 species